CACAGAUUCUAAAGCACCAUCCUCAGAGAUGUGACUGGGAUGAUCAGAAAUACGGCCCUGAGUGUCACACUUUUUAACAAGUUUGCCAGAAGAUUCUUUGAGAAUCACCUCUUUACUAGGUGAAUGUCUUCUUCAUUUUCCCUCAAGCUCCAUGAGGUCAAGGACCAUAUCUACUUUGCUCAUCAUUGAAUUCCCAGUGCCUUCAAAGCACAGUAUUUAGCAAAUGGAAGGUACUCAACAAAUAUCUGUCAAAGGAAGGAAAGAGGAGGAAGUUACAGUCAUAUUCAAAACUAAAAACAUACACACAUAGAAGGUGAAGAAGCAAAGCAGGGAAUUAAAUAACUGCUUGAACGGUUGAAUUCACCAAGUAACAGAGCAACAGUUCCAGGAUAUGAGAAAUAAAUCUGUGUGUUCCAACGCCAUUGAAGAAGGCACUUGGAAAUAAGUGACUUUUAAAAACUAUAGAAUUUAGGGGGGAGAAGUAGAGGAGAGAUGGAAUUUCUGGUAGAGAAAACUUUGUGAAUAAAGGCAUAGAAGUAAAUGA